UACGUAGGGCGCAAGCGUUGUCCGGAAUUAUUGGGCGUAAAGAGCUCGUAGGCGGCCUGUUACGUCUGCUGUGAAAUCCCGGGGCUUAACCCCGGGCGUGCAGUGGAUACGGGCAGGCUGGAGGCAGGCAGGGGAGAACGGAAUUCCCGGUGUAGCGGUGAAAUGCGCAGAUAUCGGGAGGAACACCAAUGGCGAAGGCAGCUCGCUGGGACGGUACUGACACUGAGACGCGAAAGCGUGGGGAGCAAACAGG
rnacentral:rRNA from 1 species